rnacentral:rRNA from 1 species
GAGGAACGCUGACAGAAUGCUUAACACAUGCAAGUCAACUGUGGCGGACGGGUGAGUCACGCGUAAAGAACUUGCCUCACAGUUAGGGACAACCUUUGGAAACGAAUGCUAAUACUUGAUACUGUGAGAGAGCUUUGCGUCCCAUUCGCUAGUUGGAGAGGUAACGGCUCACCAAGUCGAGGCUGGGUAGCCGGCCUGAGAGUGUGAUCGGCCACAAGGGGCCUCGUACGUGGCCGUGUGUCCUACGGGGGGCAGGUGUGGGGAAUAGUGGACACUGGCCCACAGGCUGAUCCAGCUAUUCUCUGUGCACGAUGAAGUUUUCGGAAUGAAAAGUGCUUGAAGUUGGGAAGCGGUACCAACAGAAGAAGUGACGGCUAAAUACGUGCCAGCAGCCGCGGUAAUUC